rnacentral:rRNA from 1 species
AAUCUUUCAAAUGUCUGCCCUAUCAACUGACGAUGGUACGAGCUAUGCCAACCAUGGUGUUAACGGGUAACGGGGAAUCAGGGUUCGAUUCCGGAGAGGGAGCAUGAGAUACGGCUACCACAUCCAAGGAAGGCAGCAGGCGCGCAAAUUACCCACUCCCGACACGGGGAGGUAGUGACGAAAAAUAACAAUACGGGACUCAUUCGAGGCCCCGUAAUUGGAAUGAGUACACUUUAAAUCCUUUAACGAGGAUCCAUUGGAGGGCAAUCUGGUGCCAGCACCGCGGUAAUUCCAGCUCAAUAGCGUAUAUUAAAGUUGCUGCAGUUAAAAAGCUCGUAGUUGGAUCUUGGCCCAGGCUUGUGGUCCGUCUCGCGGCGGUCUCUGCUCCUCGUCCUGGCCCCCACGCCGGCGUAGGGUCCCUUGGUACUCUUGACUUAUUGUCUCGGGCGGCCGGAACGUUUACUUUGAAGAAAUUAGAGUGCUCAAAGCAGGCCUUUGCCGCCUGUAUAAUGGUGCAUGGAAUAAUGGAAUAGGAUCUCGGUUCUUUUUGGUUGGUUUUCGGAGCUCGAGAUAAUGAUUAAUAGGGACUG